CAAUAACUUUACAGUCGACACAUCGCCUCCGACAAAACCGUCUACGCAAUGCUCAUAAAUUUUCAAAAGUAUUCAAACAUUCAAAACUCUCAGUAAACACAACAAAAUUUUUGGUUCCCUACUUUACACAGGACUAAUGUGUAUACCGUGUAUCAAAGACCCCAGAAUCAGCUGGGAAUGACAGAUCGCCGACGAGUGAACCCCCUACAACCGGACAUCGUUGUCGUGCAUUCCCAGCCGCCGCAUGCCUUGCUGCUGUCCAGUACCCGAAUCCCACCAGAAGGUGGUUCGCCAGCAGUUUCAUGUCCAGUCACAGGUCACAGUCCAGGAGUGCAAGCAGAAACAUCUCUUGGUUGAAUGCCCCACCAGUCGGGAAAUCCCUUGGCCCAGGACCUCUUCCAAGACUAGUGGAGUAUUUGUUGAUCGCUUCAGUGCUCAAGAUCGCGCUUUGAGGCAGUACCUCUGUUCGAGAAGGUUAUGCGCAAGAUUGCCUUCCGUUUCGUCAAGAGUUAGGGCACCAUCUUCCUAGGCCUGCUGCUGGUCUCAGUGCUGGUUUGAGCGGAAUCCUCGGAGAUCCGAUGAAGAAUUCCGCCCGGAUAGCCCUCACUGUGGCGCGUAA